UUUGCUGAUAAAAGCCUUUUCAUUCAGUGCUCUUUGGAAGGAGCCAAUUGUGAUGGUAAAGCAACUUUCCUCAGCAGCUUUUUCUCUUUAGGAGUGGGUAUGUCUGAGGGCUAGGAAAAAAGCCUCCUCCAAAGGGCCUUCUCCAAAAUUAGAUCAAUAACAACACUCUCCUGGUGUUUUUUUUAAAAAAGGCCCUGAGGUCUUUGGAAAUAUCUGAGCGCUGUUUGGUGGAUGCUUCCUUCACCAUUUCCCAUCUUCUGAGAAUUGUCUAGUCCUCAAAGCACUGCACAGUGAGAACUAUGAUUCUGGAACUCAGAUUUCAGCAGCAGCAAUGUUCUAUCAUGGAAGCUCUAAAAUGAUUCAUUGUUCAGGACUAUUGCUGUGGGUGCAAUUCAUUGACACAAUCCAGCCAAAGCUUUGAAGUCCUGUGGAUUUCAAUAGGAAAAGUAAAUGUAUAUCUUCCACUAAAAUCAGCUGGAUGCCUAGUUUUAGCUGAAUCUCGCCUUGGGCGUUCUGGACUAAAAUGUUAGACUGAUUAUGCAAGACAUUAGACUGCUUAUACAACAAGAUUAUCCAUAUCAAAGAAAAACAGUAGAAGAUAGAUUCACCCAAUAUUGAUCCAAUAAAGAGCAAAAAAAAAGAAAAAAAGAAUGGACAUUUCUCCAGGAAGCCUUGCCUGCUGUUUCUGUCACAAACUGAACGAGAAAGAAAAGGAACUUCUGUUUAGGAACUCCAUCAACCUAUGUCAUAGAAUGACUGGAAUCCAAAAGGACCACACACCUAUCUUCAUUUUCUAUGCUCCCAAUGUGACUUCUGAGACCUCAUAGCAAUAGCCUCCUUUACAAGAUGAAGAAGGUAUGGCUGAAACUUGGGACGGUUUUAUGAAAAUUCAUCAUUGUAGCACAAGAAUCUGCUGCUGUGGGGAAAAGCUUAUCCAAAGCAAGAAGUUUAUACAUAAAUCUAAGUGGGUUCUGUGGAGCUGGAAUUGUGUUUCUAAUUCUUAGGGCUGGUUUGGAUCAUGGUAACUUGGGAAGCAACCUACAUCCAGUGGGGUCUUUGGUACACAUCAGACUGGUACUUCAUAUGGUGAGUCAUGAGAGACUCCAGCAUUGUUAAUUUGUUUGUUACAGAAUACACAGAACCCUGAGCACAGAGAUUCUGAAGCAAAGCCUUGAUCUACUUUCCACAGAACCAUCAACUCCAAAAAUACAGUGGAGGUUCCAAGGCCUUUGGUCCCAAGAUAGUGCUGAAGUUCCAGAGUUUUUGAAACUGUGCCCCUGACAGUGGCUGACUUCCUUCAGGGAGUGUCCAACUUUCUAUGAGGGUGGAUUAUUCUUCUGCUAUUUAUAAUGCUGCAAUAUGUUUAAGAGUAACACAAGUGGCAACCCAAGACUCUAAUUUCAGAAUCAGUCAUUUGAAUGUAUUCGUGUGGCCACCUGAAUGAAGGUUGACAGCCCAUAACUUGCAUUGAGAAGGGCAAGUGGACAGUUGACACUGCUGGAGAGAGGCUUCUGAAAUGCCGUCUGAGGAAAUUGACAUUGGAUCCUAUUCCACAUAGCAUUCUGGCUCAUCAGCCACCGGGGGGUUGAAAAAUCUGAACAUAAACAACAGGCAAUGUCAUCUUGCCAAC